GGGGAGCCGGCGGCCGGCCGGCCGGCCGGGCGCGCUCGGGCCGGCCCGGAGGCGGGGGGCCGGUGGGCUGCUCUCGGCCCGGUGCUCGCUGGCGCCCGGCUCCCGGCUGCGCCCGGCUCCGCGAUCCCGCGCCGACUGCGGCGGCCGCCCUCCGCUCGGCGGCUGGGCUUUCAGACACAAUUUGAAGUUGAUGCUUUGAUUGGCAUCCCCUCGAGCGCUGGCCCCGCCCCCGGCUCCCCUCCCGCCCCCUCCCUGCCUCCCGCCCGCCCCAGCCGGGCCGCUCCCGCCCCUCCCGGCGAGCACGUGGUGUGCUCCGCGCCGUCCGGGCCACCUCCGCCCGCUGUGGGCGCGCGAGCGGCCCGGCGGCGGGUGCGGGCCCGGCGGCCGCGGGCUGCCCGACAACCUGUCGACACCGGCUCGCAGCUGUCGGACCCUGGGCUCUGCUGUUUUCCAAGCCGAGCUGUGACUGCUCUUUCAGGAAGACGUCUCGGCGCCUGAUUCUCCGCCGUUGGGGCGGCGGGGCCGGGGCUGGGCGGGUGACAGCCGGUGGGGGGGGGGUGGAGGGGGACGGCCCUCUCCUCCCCACCCCCGCCCCCAAGGCCGGCGCUGCCUUGGCCUCCCCCGGACCCCUGGGCAGAAGUGCACCCCGGUGCCCGGGCUGCGCCACCGAGCCUGGCGUGGCGUGACACCGUGACGCGGGUGUGGCGUCCGCGUGGCCCCCGCCCGGCAGUGACCGGCCUCGCUGCACCUGGAGAAGCGGGAAGCGGCCGAGCUCUGCGGGCUUCUCCGUUCGUGAAAACUUUGAGAAAGGGCAGCUGAGAAGCCAGUUCAAGGGGACAAACAGAUGCCAUCCACAGUGACAGGUGCGCACAGGCGGGAAGCAAACUUGCGGGAAGAGCGCCGGCCCGAGGCGGCGGCGCCGAGAACCCGGGGACAGGCCGUCCCUCCUCCCCUGCCCGGCCUCUUCAUCCUCGGCCCCUGGGGAAGAACAAGCAGCGAACCGCUGCGGGAUGGCUCCAGGUCCGCGCGCGGCCCUCCUGGCCUCCCGGUGCACGGGACGGGUCCGCCAGCCCGCGUCUGCCACACGCUCGCCGGCUCCGUCCUGGCGUCCCGCGUAGGGAGUUGCCCAGGGUGCUCGCCUCCGUUCCCGGGACACUUUUCGUCCUGUCUCCUAUGAAGCAGCCGGAGCCUGGUGCGCACUCCCCGCUGUGGCGCACGGACACACUGGACCCCACAGCAAUUUCACCCCAACACUUGGGGGUGAGCCUUGGUCUGGCCCAGUUCGGGAGCCCCGAGUGGAGUGCAGCUGGUGACCUGGGCCGCCGGCACCCUGGACCCCGACCUGUCCCCCAUCUCCUAGUUCCAGUUGCCAGCAGCAUCAUGGAGGCCCAGGGACUCUUGCAGAAUCGGGAAGGCUCCCGCUGACCCAGUUUGGGACCUGAGGACAGACACGGGGAGCCUCCGCCUAUAAUUAACAACAAUAACGCCCAUAAUAGUAAUUACUAAUUACCAGCUGCAUAAUCAGGCUUCAAUUUCUCUGCUCAGUCAGGGUUUUCUUUCUGUUCGUGCUGUCCCUUUGCCCCCCACCCCGCCUUUACCCCCCACCCCACUCAGCUAACCAGCCCUUGCUGGCUACAGAAACUCCCUGCAACUGCCUGGGCACCUCUCCUGCUUUGGCACAGAAUCCCGGGCCCUGGAGGUGAGCGCUAACCACUCCCAAUCCCGGAAGUCACUAACUGGCAGCUUCUUCCCGCCCCCAGCCCACCACUUCCGCCUGCCAGACAUCUCUCCCCUGCAUCCCAAACAAACGGAUGGGCCAGCCCCACUACUGUCUUGUUUGGCAAACUCCAGUGUCACAUUUCAGGCCGACAGGUAAAUACAGGUGAGAUAAGCCCUCUUCUGUGACCUGGAGAGCAGGUGGAAUUGUAAGCCCAGAGACACUUGUGAGUGUCAGGAUUCAGCCACACAGACUGAUAGCCUCCUUAUCACUCCCCCCCACCCCAAGCAGCCCACUUCAGUUGUACUGAAGCCAUCAGAACCUGGGGGGGGGGGGGGCGGCAGACUUUGUCCUGACCCCUGUCGCCUGCUGUGCCCUCCCUGUAUCACCUCCAUUUGGGUUAUGAAAUGAUAGUUGGUUCUGGAAGACAUCAGGGAGGCCUGUUGACUUCCCCCAGGAAGCUCUAGAAAGGUGCCCUAGUGGUGACUGUGACCAUUCCCCAGGCAGGGCCAGGGCUGGACCCCAGCGGAAACUGGGCCUGAUCCCGGAUCACCCCCUCCCUUCCUUCUCUGAGUUUACCCAAAAAUUUGCAAGGGGAAGACUAGGAAACAACCUGGACAAAAGGAGAAGGAGGGGGAGGGGAAGAAGAAAAAGAAAACUGCCUCCAAACCUUCCCAGUGGAGAGGAGGCUAGACAGGGAAGGAUCCAGAACUUCCUGCCUCAGCAUCCCCAUGGGGAGUGUCAUCUCUUCAGCCAGGACCCAGGAAGCCGCCCCGCUCGGCGACGGCGAGGCGAGUGGCAAGCAGUCCCAGGCAGCGGCCGAGAAGCGCCCAGGACCGCAGGGCCGUAACCGGGUGCCCUUGGGCGCCAGGCGGGGACCGGAGCGGGGCGGCUGCGGCGAUCCCCGUGCCCUGGGGGCCUGGCCUGCUCUCUGCUGCCGCGUCAGGGCCAGGCCCGCGCCGGGUCAAGAGCGGCACCUGUGAGCGCCCCGAAAGCGAGGGCCUGGGGACCUCGCUGCGGAUGCGCUGCGGUGGGACCAGAGCGGGGCCGGCGGGAGGCGACUCCAGGAAAACCCGGGAAAGAAAACACCCGGAAGGCGCCCCGGGAUGGUCUGAAGCUCGCAGCAGUGCCCGCAGAGCAGGUGCCGGGAUGCAGCCGGGGCUCGGGUCCCGGACUGUGGCGGCGGGAGACCAGCGAGACCAGCGGCCCAGCGCGCGGAGCUCCGGGACCGGCGGCAGGAGGAGAAGAAGGGCCCGCAGUCACCUGGCCUGGCGUGCGAUGUCGCCAUCCCCGAGCGUCGGAGGAAGUGAAUUACAUGCGUGUGCACACACGUAAAUAUUUUAUAAGCCUCCCCUUAAUUAACCAAAUCAUUUCCAUUAUGCCUCCAAUGUGAUCAACAGCAGCGGUGUGAGGGUUUUCAGGGCUUAUAAUUCGAUGUCACCAGACGGUCGCUCGGGGGCAGAGGUACAAUCGCGGAGCCAGCUGCACUUGUAUUUAUUUGUUUUUCUACCGUGUUCCUGUAGGGCUCCAUUAUGCAGUUUUUAAUUAGUUUGUGUUUGUAUUUCACCCGUCCCAAAUCAAUGCCAUCCCGGAGCAAGGCGAUGUAAAUUCUCGCAGUACAGGUGUAGCUGCUGGCUUGGGAACACUCGGAAACACGCGUCUGACAAAUGAGAGCGGGCGCCACACAGCCCACUGUCGGCUCCUGGCAGCCAAGAGGCGCAGACCAAAGCCAGCGGGGACUUGUGCGCCCCUGUGAGCGCCAAGCCCGCGUGCUGGGUUCCUAAUUCCAGUAGAGGGAGCCGCACAGAGCAAGGCGUGGGGGGCAAAGUGACUUUUCAUUUUGCCCGAGUCCUGCGGUCCUUGGGCCUAGUGGGCGAGGCUGGAGCCCGCGUGCAAUUAUCCUAGCUCCCCCCCGGAAGAUCACUGUGGCACCUGUCGGGUUCCGUGGAGCCUUUUAACAGGACCCAAGGCAGACAGCCCGAAUUUCUGGAAUCUCCAGGCAUGAGGACCGCCUCCCCACGCCCCCGCCCCCUUGUGCUGGCUGUCUCUUCCUUCUUGAAAUGACCUCUGUGGAGUGCCUGUAAAUCUAUCCCUCCAGCCACGGGGGAAUUCUUUUAAAGCUUUCUUUUUUGUCAGGAAUAAGAGAUUGUUCAUCUUUAACUAGACCACAUAGAAAUUAUGAUUCAACAGCAGUGUGUAUUUAAUUAGAGUAAUCUCACUUGAAUUUAAUUACCUAAUGAAUUAUUUGUUUAAAAGGUAGAAUGUCUUGUUUGCCAAGUGCGGUGCAGACCUCCGAUAAGAACUUCUGUUAUAAGGACAUUACAGCUUAAAAGCAGUCAUGUGUUAAGGUUUAUAUUUUAACUCCUUGAGUGUGUAACUGUUAACUGUUAACGUGCUACUCGCACAAAAGCUCUGAUACGGAAGGGUGCCGGGAGAGCACGCACAGAUUCUGUUCUGUGCCCACAUCCUUUUGGAAAUUGGCAUCCUCUACCUUGCCACCUGAGCCUAUUUUUAAACUUCCUGCAUUUUGCUUUCAGUGACACUUUCCUUUUUUCUGCUGCACGAUGACAGCUGUCUAUUAGAGGGCUCAUUUUAUGAUUAGUAUUUGCAAUGAAGGGCACAUCCUUCAGCAAAACUCCCGCCCAGCUCCACUGUGUCCCAGAGGCACCCACAAUAGCAGCAGGAAGCCUUUCUGGGCUCAUCAAACCUCAUGGGAAUGGAAGGUACCAAGGCCCAGACUUUGACCUUAACCCUUCAUUCCUAAACCAUGGAAGAAUCUCCUUGCCUCUUGGUUUCCAAAAGCAAGAGCCCAGAACUCUAGGCCACGCCACCCUUUCUGGGAGGCUCACAAGUUGACUCGUCUCUCGGUAAUGCUAACGAUUUUUGCAGCUAAUGCCAAGUUCGAAAUCCCAGCCAAGGGAGGAGGGUGACGUGCUGGAAGUCUAACAUGAUUUCUGUGUUUUUCUGUGGCUAAGUGACUACAGGAGCAGACUGCUUCUCCUCCUCUAUCCCGUGUGAUGGACAGAAUCGUCUGUCCCUGUGUGAUGGAAUUUCAGCAGAGGAAUGAAUGGAUAGGGUGAGGGAGGCAGCAGGAAAUGUUUCGCCCACUCACUGAAGAGAGACCAGGAAAUAAGAACGCCUGAAAUCUGCUGGAUUGAAUUCCACUGUCAUUUUCAUUAAUAUUUCAUCAAUCAAAUAAUUUACUUUAAUUGCAGAUUCGGGCACUAUUAUCACAUAAAUAUUAAAUAGUAUUAAUAUAGUGUCCAUCUAAGUAAGAAUGAGCUUAUAAGAAAGUACAACACGUUGAUAAGAAUUGUUAAUUUCUUGUUUCUUUCCUGUAUCCCUGAUGUGUAUCAUAACUGUGCAUUUUGCAGUUGGGUGUCCCAACAACCAAUAGCGGUUAAAUUGUAAUAUAAAUUUGGGACUCCUG